CAGGAAAACACCCGUGCUCACUGCUGUAACACCUCAGUCUUCAGUUUGCAGCAAAACAGCAUGGAUGUCAGAGCUCUCGGCAUCAGACUGUUGAUGACCAUUAUGAUUAUGAAUCUGCUGGUUGUUCAGGAUCAGAGAGUUGAGGCGAGCCUUUUCCCUUCUGAUGACCUCAAUUGGAUGCUUGGCUUUACUUUAUUGAACGCUCUGGUGCUGUUGCUCGGAAUGUACUUAAGCAACGAUUGCUGGUGUAGAAGUAAAG